GAUGAACGCUGGCGGCGUGCCUAAUACAUGCAAGUCGAGCGAACAGAUAAGGAGCUUGCUCCUUUGACGUUAGCGGCGGACGGGUGAGUAACACGUGGGUAACCUACCUAUAAGACUGGAAUAACUCCGGGAAACCGGGGCUAAUGCCGGAUAACAUUUAGAACCGCAUGGUUCUAAAGUGAAAGAUGGUUUUACUAUCACUUAUAGAUGGACCCGCGCCGUAUUAGCUAGUUGGUAAGGUAACGGCUUACCAAGGCAACGAUACGUAGCCGACCUGAGAGGGUGAUCGGCCACACUGGAACUGAGACACGGUCCAGACUCCUACGGGAGGCAGCAGUAGGGAAUCUUCCGCAAUGGGCGAAAGCCUGACGGAGCAACGCCGCGUGAGUGAUGAAGGUCUUCGGAUCGUAAAACUCUGUUAUUAGGGAAGAACAAUGUGUAAGUAACUGUGCACGUCUUGACGGUACCUAAUCAGAAAGCCACGGCUAACUACGUG
rnacentral:rRNA from 1 species